rnacentral:rRNA from 1 species
GACGAACGCUGGCGGCGUGCUUAACACAUGCAAGUCGAACGGAAAGGCCCUGCUUUUGUGGGGUGCUCGAGUGGCGAACGGGUGAGUAACACGUGAGUAACCUGCCCUUGACUUUGGGAUAACUUCAGGAAACUGGGGCUAAUACCGGAUAGGAGCUCCUGCUGCAUGGUGGGGGUUGGAAAGUUUCGGCGGUUGGGGAUGGACGCGCGGCUUAUCAGCUUGUUGGUGGGGUAGUGGCUUACCAAGGCUUUGACGGGUAGCCGGCCUGAGAGGGUGACCGGCCACAUUGGGACUGAGGUACGGCCCAGACUCCUACGGGAGGCAGCAGUGGGGAAUAUUGCACAAUGGGCGGAAGCCUGAUGCAGCAACGCCGCGUGCGGGAUGACGGCCUUCGGGUUGUAAACCGCUUUCGCCUGUGACGAAGCGUGAGUGACGGUAAUGGGUAAAGAAGCACCGGCUAACUACGUG